rnacentral:rRNA from 1 species
GAUGAACGCUGGCGGCGUGCUUAACACAUGCAAGUCGAACGGAAAGGCCACAGCUUGCUGUGGUACUCGAGUGGCGAACGGGUGAGUAACACGUGGGUGAUCUGCCCUGUACUUCGGGAUAAGCUUGGGAAACUGGGUCUAAUACCGGAUAGGAAUCACAUGUGGGUGUGUGGUUGGAAAGCUUUUGCGGUAUGGGAUGAGCUCGCGGCCUAUCAGCUUGUUGGUGGGGUAAUGGCAUACUAAGGCGUCGACGGGUAGCCGGCCUGAGAGGGUGUACGGCGACAUUGGGACUGAGAUACGGCCCAGACUCCUACGGGAGGCAGCAGUGGAGAAUAUUGCACAAUGGGCGCAAGCCUGAUGCAGCGACGCCGCGUGGGGGAUGACGGCCUUCGGGUUGUAAACUCCUUUCGUCAGGGACGAAGCGAAAGUGACGGUACCUGGAUAAGAAGCACCGGCUAACUACGUG